rnacentral:rRNA from 1 species
GAUGAACGCUGGCGGCGUGCCUAACACAUGCAAGUCGAACGAAGCACCUUGCCUGAUUCUUCGGAUGAAGGUCUGGUGACUGAGUGGCGGACGGGUGAGUAACGCGUGGGUAACCUGCCCUGUACAGGGGGAUAACAGUUGGAAACGGCUGCUAAUACCGCAUAAGCGCACGAGAGGACAUCCUUUUGCGUGAAAAACUCCGGUGGUACAGGAUGGGCCCGCGUCUGAUUAGCCAGUUGGCAGGGUAACGGCCUACCAAGGCGACGAUCAGUAGCCGGUCUGAGAGGAUGAACGGCCACAUUGGAACUGAGACACGGUCCAAACUCCUACGGGAGGCAGCAGUGGGGAAUAUUGCACAAUGGGGGAAACCCUGAUGCAGCAACGCCGCGUGAGUGAAGAAGUAUUUCGGUAUGUAAAGCUCUAUCAGCAGGGAAGAUAAUGACGGUACCUGACUAAGAAGCUCCGGCUAAAUACGUGCCAGCAGCCGCGGUAA